rnacentral:rRNA from 1 species
AUUGAACGCUGGCGGCAUGCCUUACACAUGCAAGUCGAACGGCAGCACGGGAGCAAUCCUGGUGGCGAGUGGCGAACGGGUGAGUAAUAUAUCGGAACGUGCCCAGUAGUGGGGGAUAACUGCUCGAAAGAGCAGCUAAUACCGCAUACGACCUGAGGGUGAAAGCGGGGGAUCGCAAGACCUCGCGCUAUUGGAGCGGCCGAUAUCAGAUUAGCUAGUUGGUGGGGUAAAGGCCUACCAAGGCAACGAUCUGUAGUUGGUCUGAGAGGACGACCAGCCACACUGGGACUGAGACACGGCCCAGACUCCUACGGGAGGCAGCAGUGGGGAAUUUUGGACAAUGGGCGCAAGCCUGAUCCAGCAAUGCCGCGUGCAGGAAGAAGGGCCUUCGGGUUGUAACUAGCUUUGUUCAGGGAAGAAAUACC